CACGUCAUUACUCCAAGCUGAGAAAUGAUAGGUAUAACUAGUAUAACUAAAAUAUAAACUAUGCAAAAUAUAACGACAAAAGACAAAAACCUAGAAACUAUGCUUAUAAUUUUACUGUCUCAUUACCAAGGAAGUUUGAUAAACUACCACGAUAAUACCUAAGAGUACCUUGAACAGAAAAAGUGGCAGCUACAUUGUCAUGAGAAAAAGAUACAUUUGUUUAAAGAGGAAGUAGGUUGCAAAGCAAAGAAUAGCUACUUUAGUCAUCCUUUAUAGGUAAAUGCCUUCAACUUAUUCUCUUAACAGUUAGGCUAUGGAACUCUUUACAUGGUUAUAGCUACUUUUGUUAGUAGAUGCGAAGCGUUAUGCUACCUCCUUAGACUGUUCGAAGCGUUUAGCUUGGUAAAAUGGUUAAUGAAGCAAUAUGCUUGCAAAUGAUAACGUCAUUUCUUUGUUCUGGCAUUUCACUUGUGCUUAAGAUUACUUUUAGGGUAAGUAACAGAAUGGAAUAUUAAAGUUGUGUAUAAAAUGUACAGGAAGGGUGCAGUAACAGAUUGGAGGGCAAACAAUAGACACUAUUACGACUCGAGUGAUAAAAUUGAAUCAUAUAAAAUCUUGUUGGCCUUUCGUCGCUUUUAAGCCUUCAUCCAUCUCGUCUGCUGUACAUACAAAAGCUAUAUGAUCAAACUAAGAAAAAAACUUAUGGCAUAAGAAAGGUCAGCUUUGUUUAACAACAUACUUACACACACAUACACACACACGAACAAUAUCAUAACAUAAUAAAACUACUGUCAAAACUAAGGUAGUGUCCCUAGACAUAUGUACCGUUUUCUAUGGAUGCGCAAAAUUUCUACGUUAAUGAAAAUAACGCUAUGAAAUGUACUUUAUUGAAAUUAAGACUUGAUAAAACACACGAGUAGAUAUUAAUAGCGGCAAAGUUUUAAAUUGGUAAUUAAAUGAGGUACUUAUUUCCCAAUAAGAUAUACUGUAUCCGUUUUUUACUCUCUAUGUAUGAUCCAUUGCCAUUCCUCUCGCCGAGACUGGAGACGACGACUCGGAGAAAUGGGCGCCAAGAGUUGUUAAGAAAUUUCACCCGUCAUGAGUUAUUUAAUUAUUUAACCCCAUGUUGAAUGUGCAAUACUGUCUGCAGUAACAUCAUAACGUCACCUAUCUUACUGUCGUGUUUGCCGAAAAAUGACAAAGCACCGGGACAAGAAUGAGAGAAGGGCUUAUGAAAUGGAGGAUGGGACGGCCCUGCUGAUGCCUCCGUUCUAACAGCUGAAUGUGUCAUCACCCAAGAGCAGAUAUCAAAUAUGCUCUCAUUGUCUUGCAGUAGCGGCCUUGCCCUAAACAGGACGUCUAGGAAUAUAAACAGUGAGGAACGCCAGGAGCAGAGUCACUCGCCGAAAUAAGAGUGAAAGGUCCCUGGUCUAUUGUUGGGCUUCUUUUUAUUGUAACCGGCGAGAAAUUUUCGCUCUUCUCUCACAACAUCAUCUAGCCAAAGCCUGAUGUUUUCCGAGGCAGUGAAGAUUGGAAUAAUGAGAUCAAAAUGUCGACGAAGCUUGACUUGACAGUGAAAAGCAACUCGAUGGAACAGUUAGAUUCAGAAGGGUGGCGAGAAACUGAAAUCGAGAACCUAACCGAAACAACCCUGUUUCGUCGAAGACAUCUGGUGACGUCAUCAACCUCAGUUAUGAAUGGGCAUUGGAGAAGUCUCUCUACUCUACUCUCGCUGUUUACGUAGUAAUGUCAGAGUUGCCAGGUGUCACUUUUGUGAAAAUAUAACGUUUAAAUUUCGACAAAUAUUCACUUUGUGAGUGUGUGCUCUUGCAUCUGAUGUUAGCUAAUAAAGUUAUGGAAUCACAGCAGGUAGAAUGAUAUAAGCUCUUAGCCUCCAUACGUAGUAUGCUCUGCAUUGUUUGAACAAAAAAGUAGCUAACUAGUAUUUUUCGUAGCUUCUGCAGACGCAACCUCCCUCCAUUGUAGCCAUUUGUGUGAAUUCUAAUUCUUACAAAAAUAUUAGUUUUGCAUUGCUGAUUAUUGCUCAACGCUCAUAAUGGUUAUUUAAAAAUUGUAUUAAUCAGAUAACAAUACAUUUAGGGAGGAAAACAGAAUUAAUUGCUAUGACUGCAUCAAAACCUAAAGUUUUCUGCCCGUUACUUUACAAUCCUUGGACGUGAAAAUUUCUUUUAGCCAGUAAAAAUGAAAACUGGCAACAUCAACAAGGUAAAUAUAAAAUAAUUGGGGCAUUAAGAAUAUUUCUUCAUUUCAAGUCUGUUCGAGAAUAUAUUCAAUAAAAUUUAAAUCUUUGUGAUAAUGAACAAUUACCCAAAGACGAGAUAUAUUUAAAAAAAAUUUAGAAUAGAAUUAAAAGAUUCGUCACUUUUUGCAACUGUUUGAUGACGUUGAGACUGACGAAGUUAUGACGUCAUCGACAGCCAAUCACAGAGCAGCAAGUUUCCCGCCAAAACAGCAAAUACUUCGUGGGGUUCCUCGAGUUUAUGCUUUGCUGUUCGACACUUCUCCAAAACCGUCA